AUUAGUUUGAUCCUGGCUCAGAUUGAACGCUGGCGGCAUGCCUUACACAUGCAAGUCGAACGGCAGCACGGGGCAACCUGGUGGCGAGUGGCGAACGGGUGAGUAAUGCGUCGGAACGUGCCAUUGAGUGGGGGAUAACGUAGCGAAAGUUGCGCUAAUACCGCAUAUUCUGUGCGCAGGAAAGCAGGGGACCGCAAGGCCUUGCGCUCUUUGAGCGGCCGAUGUCAGAUUAGCUAGUUGGUGAGGUAACGGCUUACCAAGGCGACGAUCUGUAGCGGGUCUGAGAGGAUGAUCCGCCACACUGGAACUGAGACACGGUCCAGACUCCUACGGGAGGCAGCAGUGGGGAAUUUUGGACAAUGGGCGCAAGCCUGAUCCAGCCAUGCCGCGUGAGUGAAGAAGGCCUUCGGGUUGUAAAGCUCUUUCGGCCGGGAAGAAAUCGCAUGGGCCAAUACCCUGUGUGGAUGACGGUACCGGAAUAAGAAGCACCGGCUAACUAUGUGCCAGCAGCCGCGGUAAUAAU
rnacentral:rRNA from 1 species